rnacentral:rRNA from 1 species
AUGCAGUCGUACGAGAGUUUUUAACUCAAGUGGCGGACGGGUGAGUAACACGUGAGAAUCUGCCUUUAGGAGGGGGACAACAACUGGAAACGGUUGCUAAUACCCCAUAUGCUUUCGAGUGAAAUGAAUUUAUUCGCCUAGAGAGGAGCUCGCGGCUGAUUAGCUUGUUGGUAGAGUAAUAGCCUACCAAGGCGACGAUCAGUAUCUGGUUUGAGAGGACGAUCAGACACACUGGAACUGAGACACGGUCCAGACUCCUACGGGAGGCAGCAGUGGGGAAUUUUCCGCAAUGGGCGAAAGCCUGACGGAGCAAUACCGCGUGAGGGAUGACGGCCUAUGGGUUGUAAACCUCUUUUUUCAGGGAGGAAUCAAUGACGUGUACCUGAAGAAUAAGCAUCGGCUAACUCCGUG